AUAAGGUAUCUACACUUCACUGAUACGCACCAGCGAGGUGAGCAAAGAUGGGAGGCUAAUUAUGAUGUAUCUUACAAACUCAGAUAAAUUAAAGACCCCCUUAACAGACAAAAAUGAGAGACCAACAUGUCCCCAAACGAUAGGUGACGAUUCAUGAUACCUUACAAAGGGAGGGAUGCAUUCAAGCAAUUCAUGCCUCCUAAAACAAAGAAAUGGGCCAUCAAAC
rnacentral:lncRNA from 1 species